rnacentral:rRNA from 1 species
ACGGAAGGCAGCAGUGGGGAAUAUUGCACAAUGGGGGAAACCCUGAUGCAGCGACGCCGCGUGAGUGAAGAAGUUAUUCGUAAUGUAAAGCUCUAUCAGCAGGGAAGAAAAUGACGGUACCUGACUAAGAAGCCCCGGCUAACUACGUGCCAGCAGCCGCGGUAGUACGUAGGGGGCAAGCGUUAUCCGGAUUUACUGGGUGUAAAGGGAGCGUAGACGGUCUAGCAAGUCUGAUGUGAAAGGCAGGGGCUCAACUCCUGGACUGCAUUGGAAACUGUUAGUCUUGAGUGUCGGAGAGGUAAGCGGAAUUCCUAGUGUAGCGGUGAAAUGCGUAGAUAUUAGGAGGAACACCAGUGGCGAAGGCGGCUUACUGGACGAUAACUGACGUUGAGGCUCGAAAGCGUGGGGAGCAAACAGGAUUAGAUACCCUGGUA